AUUGAACGCUGGCGGCAGGCUUAACACAUGCAAGUCGAACGAGUGGCGGACGGGUGAGUAAUGUAUGGGAACCUAGCUUAUGGAGGGGGAUAACUACGGGAAACUGUAGCUAAUACCGCGUACCAUAGGAUGAGCCCCAGUGGGAUUAGGUAGUUGGUGGGGUAAAGGCUCACCAAGCCGACGAUCUCUAGCUGGUCGGAGAGGAUGACCAGCAACACUGGGACUGAGACAAGGCCCAGACGCCUACGGGAGGCAGCAGUGGGGAAUGUUGCGCAAUGGGGGCAACCUGACGCAGCCAUGCCGCGUGAAUGAAGAAGGCCUUCGGGUUGUAAAGUUCUUUCGGUAGCGAGGCGGUAACUACAGAAGAAGCACCGGCUAACUCCGUGCCAGCAGCCGCGGUAAUUC
rnacentral:rRNA from 1 species